rnacentral:rRNA from 1 species
UAGGGAAUUUUUCACAAUGAGCGAAAGCUUGAUGGAGCAAUGCCGCGUGAACGAUGAAGGUCUUUAAGAUUGUAAAGUUCUUUUAUUUGGGAAGAAUGACUUUAGCAGGUAAUGGCUGGAGUUUGACUGUACCAUUUUGAAUAAGUGACGACUAACUAUGUGCCAGCAGUCGCGGUAAUACAUAGGUCGCAAGCGUUAUCCGGAUUUAUUGGGCGUAAAGCAAGCGCAGGCGGAUUGAAAAGUCUGGUGUUAAAGGCAGCUGCUUAACAGUUGUAUGCAUUGGAAACUAUUAAUCUAGAGUGUGGUAGGGAGUUUUGGAAUUUCAUGUGGAGCGGUGAAAUGCGUAGAUAUAUGAAGGAACACCAGUGGCGAAGGCGAAAACUUAGGCCAUUACUGACGCUUAGGCUUGAAAGUGUGGGGAGCAAAUAGGAUUAGAUACCCUAGUAGUCCACACCGUAAACGAUAGAUACUAGCUGUCGGGGCGAUCCCCUCGGUAGUGAAGUUAACACAUUAAGUAUCUCGCCUGGGUAGUACAUUCGCAAGAAUG